rnacentral:rRNA from 1 species
UUUUAAAAAGCGUUAAAGCUUAAACUUCACCUCAUCUUUAAUUCCAAUAUUUUCCGCGAACCCUUAAUCACAACUGGAUAAUUCUAUAUAAUUAUAGAAGAUAUAAUGCUAAAACUAGUAACAAGAAGUUGACCUUCUCCAAAAUGCAAGCAAAAGCCUAUACGGACUAACCAUUGGCUAUUAACGUCUAUGAAUUAAAUAUAGUAACUCUCCCUAGUAAACCCUAUAAAUAACAACGUUAAUCUUACACAAGAGCAUUACCGGAAAGAUUAAAAGAAAAAGAAGGAACUCGGCAAAUCCAGGCCUCGCCUGUUUACCAAAAACAUCGCCUCUUGAUAAUCUAUAAGAGGUCCAGCCUGCCCAGUGAACUAUUAAACGGCCGCGGUACCCUGACCGUGCGAAGGUAGCAUAAUAACUUGUUCUUUAAAUGGGGACUAGCAUGAACGGCAUCACGAAGGCCUUACUGUCUCCUUUUUCUAAUCAGUGAAACUGAUCUUCCCGUGAAGAAGCGGGAAUUUUUAUAUAAGACGAGAAGACCCCAUGGAGCUUUAAACCCAAUAGACACCCCUGACACAUUUAACCCAAACUAGUUUUUAACCCCUGUCUAUUGGUUUUAGGUUGGGGUGACCGCGGAGUAUAACUUAUCCUCCACGACGUAAAGGGGCUUCCCCCUUAUCCUUGAACCACACUUCUAAGAAUCAACAAAUUGACGUUUUAUGAUCCAAUAUUUUGAUCAACGGACCAAGUUACCCUGGGGAUAACAGCGCAAUCCAUUUUUAGAGCCCCUAUCGACAAAUGGGUUUACGACCUCGAUGUUGGAUCAGGGUAUCCCAGUGGUGCAGCCGCUACUAAUGGUUUGUUUGUUCAACAAUUAAAACCCUACGUGAUCUGAG